AAAAAAUCCAUGAAAAAGAGAGUAGUUUUCUGUGAAGGCAAAGCGAAUCAGGGGUGGUGUAAGCCUGAUCUGAAUCAGAAAAUGAAGCGCACUUUUGAGAUGCUGCCUGAAAGAAGUAGGGUACGCCGGAGAAUCCUCCGUUAAAAAGCUAAGCUGGUUCUUUGAACAAUUAGAGUGGUACCGCGGGUUUAACUCUCGUCUCUUCA
rnacentral:ncRNA from 1 species